rnacentral:rRNA from 1 species
AUUGAACGCUGGCGGCAUGCUUUACACAUGCAAGUCGAACGGUAACAGGCCUUCGGGUGCUGACGAGUGGCGAACGGGUGAGUAAUGCAUCGGAAAGUACCCCGAGGUGGGGGAUAACGCAGCGAAAGCUGUGCUAAUACCGCAUGUGAUCUGAGGAUGAAAGCGGGGGACCGCGCAGCAAUGUUUGCCCUCGCGCCUUUGGAGCGGCCGAUGUCGGAUUAGCUAGUUGGUGGGGUAAAGGCCUACCAAGGCGACGAUCCGUAGCUGGUCUGAGAGGACGACCAGCCACACUGGGACUGAGACACGGCCCAGACUCCUACGGGAGGCAGCAGUGGGGAAUUUUGGACAAUGGGCGCAAGCCUGAUCCAGCAAUGCCGCGUGCGGGAAGAAGGCCUUCGGGUUGUAAACCGCUUUUGGCAGGAACGAAACGGUGUCCGCUAAUACCGGGCGCUAAUGACGUUACCUGCAGAAUAAGCACCGGCUAACUACGUG